rnacentral:rRNA from 1 species
AACGAACGCUGGCGGCAGGCCUAACACAUGCAAGUCGAGCGAGCAUUUCGGUGCUAGCGGCGGACGGGUGAGUAACGCGUGGGAACGUGCCCUUUUCUGCGGAAUAGUCCUGGGAAACUGGGGGUAAUACCGCAUACGCCCUUUUGGGGAAAGAUUUAUCGGAGAAGGAUCGGCCCGCGUUGGAUUAGGUAGUUGGUGGGGUAAUGGCCCACCAAGCCGACGAUCCAUAGCUGGUUUGAGAGGAUGAUCAGCCACACUGGGACUGAGACACGGCCCAGACUCCUACGGGAGGCAGCAGUGGGGAAUCUUAGACAAUGGGGGCAACCCUGAUCGAGCCAUGCCGCGUGAGUGAUGAAGGCCUUAGGGUUGUAAAGCUCUUUCAGCUGGGAAGAUAAUGACGGUACCAGAAGAAGAAGCCCCGGCUAACUCCGUG